rnacentral:tRNA from 1 species
UCCCUGGUGGCUCAAACGGUAAAGCGUCUGCCUACAAUGCAGGAGACCGGGGUUCAAUCCCUGGGUUGGGAU